rnacentral:tRNA from 1 species
AUCUAAAUAGUUUAAUUAAAAUAUUGAUUUGUGGAGUCAAUGAUGUGUAAUUGCACUUUAGGUA